CUCAGAUUGAACGCUGGCGGCAUGCCUUACACAUGCAAGUCGAACGGCAGCACGGGAGCUUGCUCCUGGUGGCGAGUGGCGAACGGGUGAGUAAUACAUCGGAACGUACCCUGAAGUGGGGGAUAACGUAGCGAAAGUUACGCUAAUACCGCAUAUUCUGUGAGCAGGAAAGAGGGGGAUCGCAAGAUCUCUUGCUUUAGGAGCGGCCGAUGUCGGAUUAGCUAGUUGGUGAGGUAAAGGCUCACCAAGGCGACGAUCCGUAGCGGGUCUGAGAGGAUGAUCCGCCACACUGGGACUGAGACACGGCCCAGACUCCUACGGGAGGCAGCAGUGGGGAAUUUUGGACAAUGGGCGCAAGCCUGAUCCAGCCAUGCCGCGUGAGUGAAGAAGGCCUUCGGGUUGUAAAGCUCUUUCGGUGGGAAGAAAUUGCUUCGGUUAAUACCUGGAGUAGAUGACGGUACCCGCAUAAGAAGCACCGGCUAACUACGUG
rnacentral:rRNA from 1 species